rnacentral:rRNA from 1 species
ACGCACUCUGAUCAGCCAUGUCGCGUGCAGGAUGAAGGUCUUAUGGAUUGUAAACUUCUUUUGCAAGGGAAUAAACUGGGGGACGUGUCCUCCUUUGAAUGUACCUUGCGAAUAAGGAUCGGCUAACUCCGUGCCAGCAGCCGCGGUAAUACGGAGGAUCCGAGCGUUAUCCGGAUUUAUUGGGUUUAAAGGGUGCGCAGGCGGGAUGUUAAGUCAGCGGUGAAAUUUUGCAGCUCAACUGUAAAAGUGCCUUUGAUACUGGCUUUCUUGAGUGUGGAUGAAGUAGGCGGAAUUUGUGGUGUAGCGGUGAAAUGCUUAGAUAUCACGAGGAACUCCGAUUGCGCAGGCAGCUUACUAAACCACUACUGACGCUCAUGCACGAAGGCGUGGGGAUCAAACAGGAUUAGAUACCCUGGUAGUCCACGCAGUAAACGAUGAUUACUAGUUGUUUGCGAUACAAUGUAAGCGACUGAGCGAAAGCGUUAAGUAAUCCACCUGGGGAGUACGUUCGCAAGAAUGAAACUCAAAGGAAUUGACG